rnacentral:rRNA from 1 species
AUGGUUGGAGGGCGCUGCACGGACGCCUCCGCCAAGCCGAAGCAUCCGCGCCCUGCAGGUGGCGACGACGGAAGCAGCAGCCUUGAUGCGUGUGGUGGCGGCGGCAUCGGGCAUGCCGGCGACCGUCUGAGCGCGCUGCCGGACGACCUCCUCCACGCCAUCAUGUCGCGCCUCAAGGCCCUGCAGAUGGCGCGGACGUGCGUGCUGUCCACGAGGUGGAGGCACCUCUGGCGCGCCGUGCCGUGCCUCGACGUCGACGAGGCGGAGACCGGCGCCUACAACAAUUUCGACAACUUCACCGACAACCUUCUGCGCAGCCAUGACAUCGCGCUCCUGGAGGACUUCCGGCUGCACGCCCACAGGACUUCUGACCGAUGGGUCCGCCGCGCCGUAGGCCAAGGCGAGGCAUGGCCUUGCCGGCUCAAAAGGUUGCAUCUCUUCAGCCUGCUUAAUCUGAAGCUGACAGAUCUUGGGAGCCUCAUCAGCUUCCGCUGCCAUGCUCUGGAGGACCUGCAACUGAGAAACUGCAGCUUUUUGCUCACCAGCAAUGCUAAGAUUGUCUCCUCCUCACUCAAGAAAUUGGCUGUCGUUGAUGGCUACUACAUGGUGCAUGACGAUGAGAUUUUUGCGUUGAUUAUAGAGGCUCCUGCUCUUGUUUCUCUAUGCCUCGACGGGGAGCUUGAACACAUUGUCGAUAUGACUGAACCGCAUACCGUGCUGUCUCUUGUCGACGCGUCGAUUCAGCUUCCCAGGGUCGAGAAGCGCGUGAAUCACGAAUUGGGUAUUCUUGGUGCGCUGUCUAACGUGACAACCUUGCGCUUGUCGCAUUUUGCGGUCAUGUUGUUGUUCUAUGCGACUCGUGAGGAUCUUCCUGUAUUCAAGUUUGAGAACCUAAGAAGCUUGUUGCUAGAUGAGUGUCAUAUCAGCGACGACUUCCUCGGGCUGCAGCAAUACCUGCACAACUCGCGUAACCUGAAGAAACUCACUUUGCGCUGUUGCAAGGUCUUGGAUUAUAGGCAUAACAAGGAGAUGAGAAAACGCCUGCACAAAUCUUCUGAGGUCCUGGUGGAUUUCAACUGUGAGAACCUUAGGCUUACUGAAAUCAUAUACAGAGAUGGUGACACUUCUAUCCACCUACUGGUCAAGUUUUUGGUCGGCAUGCGGAGGAAUCUACCAAACAACAUGAUCGAAUUCACUAAAGUUGAUUAG